GCCCGGAAGAGGAAGAAUAGAGGGCCUUAGAGUAGUGGGAAUGGGAACAUGGAGGAAAGCCUAAAUUGCUCGGUUUUCACCUCUAGUGUUGGAGGUGAAAAAUCUAGUUUGGUGUUUCCCAAUGCCUCCCAUUCCUAUUGUUCUAAAGCACUCCUUCCUCUUCCUUUUUUGG
rfam:Triticum urartu cultivar G1812 contig858502, whole genome shotgun sequence.